UACAGAGGUCCCAAGCGUUGUUCGGAUUCACUGGGCGUAAAGGGUGCGUAGGCGGGUCUUUAAGUCAGGGGUGAAAUCCUGGAGCUCAACUCCAGAACUGCCUUUGAUACUGAGGAUCUUGAGUACGGGAGAGGUGAGUGGAACUGCGAGUGUAGAGGUGAAAUUCGUAGAUAUUCGCAAGAACACCAGUGGCGAAGGCGGCUCACUGGCCCGUAACUGACGCUGAGGCACGAAAGCGUGGGGAGCAAACAGG
rnacentral:rRNA from 1 species